CCUACGGGAGGCAGCAGUAGGGAAUCUUCCGCAAUGGACGAAAGUCUGACGGAGCAACGCCGCGUGAGCGAUGAAGGCCUUCGGGUCGUAAAGCUCUGUUGUUAGGGAAGAACAAGUGCUAGUUGAAUAAGCUGGCACCUUGACGGUACCUAACCAGAAAGCCACGGCUAACUACGUGCCAGCAGCCGCGGUAAUACGUAGGUGGCAAGCGUUGUCCGGAAUUAUUGGGCGUAAAGCGCGCGCAGGCGGUUUCUUAAGUCUGAUGUGAAAGCCCCCGGCUCAACCGGGGAGGGUCAUUGGAAACUGGGAAACUUGAGUGCAGAAGAGGAAAGUGGAAUUCCAAGUGUAGCGGUGAAAUGCGUAGAGAUUUGGAGGAACACCAGUGGCGAAGGCGACUUUCUGGUCUGUAACUGACGCUGAGGCGCGAAAGCGUGGGGAGCAAACAGGAUUAGAUACCCUGGUAGUCCACGCCGUAAACGAUGAGUGCUAAGUGUUAGGGGGUUUCCGCCCCUUAGUGCCGCAGCUAACGCAUUAAGCACUCCGCCUGGGGAGUACGGCCGCAAGGCUGAAACUCAAAGGAAUUGACGG
rnacentral:rRNA from 1 species